CAUAGUGUAGCUUAACCACACAAAGCACCUGGCCUACACCCAGAAGACUCCAAAACAACGGACACUAUGA
rnacentral:tRNA from 1 species